rnacentral:rRNA from 1 species
AUUUAAAAAUUUAUUUUAUUUUUUAUUUUUAUAUGAUUUUAAAUAAAAUAUUUUUUUUUGUUUUUUAAUAAUUAUGAUAAAAUAAAAUUAAUUAUAGUUAAUUAGUAUUGUGAAAGAAUAUUGAAAUAUUUUGAAAAAUUUAAAUAUUUAAAAGAAUAAUUUAUUUUUAGUACCUUGUGUAUCAGGGUUUAUUAAUUAAUAAUUAUGAAUAUUAAUUUUCUCGAAUUUAAAAGAGCUAAAAAAUUAUAAAUUUUAUUGUGGCAUAAAUAUUUAUAAUAAUUUUUUAGUAAUGAAACGUUAUACGUUUUUAAAUUUAUCUAGUUUUUUAAGAAAUAAAUUUAAUUUAGUUUAUUUUUAUAAUUUAAAUUAAUUUUAUAUUUGAAUUAAGGAAUAAAUUAAUAUUUUAAGGGAUAAGCUUUAAAAUAAAAUUUUAAAAAUUAAUUAAAAUAAUAAAAAUAUAUUGGAUUAGAAGUUUUUAUUAUUAAAUAGUGUGUUAUAACAAAUUUUUAUUUUAAUAUAAUUUAUAUAUGAUUUUAAAUUUUUUAUUAAAAUUAUUAAUUUAAUUUAAAAAUUAAUGUAAUAAUGAUAAAAUUAGUAUAAUUUAUGAUGUAUAUUUAAUUUAAUUAUUAAGGUUAAAUUAAGGAACUCGGCAAAAAUUUUUUUCGCCUGUUUAUUAAAAACAUGUCUUUUUGAUUAUAAUUUAAAGUCUAACCUGCCCUAUGAAUAAUUUAUUUAAAUGGCUGCGGUAUUUUGACCGUACAAAGGUAGCAUAAUAAUUAGUUUUUUAAUUGGGAACUGGUAUGAAUGGUUGAACGAGAAAAAGACUGUCUCAAUUUAAUUUAAAUUAGAAUUUUAUUUUUAAGUUAAAAAGCUUAAAUAUUUUUAAAAGACGAGAAGACCCUAUAGAGUUUUAUAUAAUAAGGAUUAUUUAAAAAUUUAGGUAUUAGAAAUUUAUUUAAUUUAUUUUGUAUUUGGUUGGGGUGAUUAAAAAAUUAAAAAAACUUUUUUUAUAAAUUUAACAUUGAUUUAUGAUUAAGUGAUCCAUAUUUUAUGAUUAUAAGAUUAAAUUACCUUAGGGAUAACAGCGUAAUUUUUUUUUAGAGUUCUUAUCGAAAAAAAAGUUUGCGACCUCGAUGUUGGAUUAAAAUAAACUUUUGGUGUAGCAACUAAAAAGUUGGGUCUGUUCGACCUUUAAAAUUUUACAUGAUCUGAGUUUAAAUCGGCGUGAGCCAGAUUGGUUUCUAUCUUUAAAUAAUUAGAAUAUUUUAGUACGAAAGGACCAAAUAUUUGUAAAAUUUAUUUUUUAAUAAGAAUAUUAUUAAUGUA